AGUCGAGCGGCAGCACGGGGAGCUUGCUCCCUGGUGGCGAGCGGCGGACGGGUGAGUAAUGCAUAGGAAUCUGCCCGGUAGUGGGGGAUAACGUGGGGAAACCCACGCUAAUACCGCAUACGUCCUACGGGAGAAAGCGGAGGAUCUUCGGACUUCGCGCUAUCGGAUGAGCCUAUGUCGGAUUAGCUAGUUGGUAAGGUAACGGCUUACCAAGGCAACGAUCCGUAGCUGGUCUGAGAGGAUGAUCAGCCACGCUGGGACUGAGACACGGCCCACACUCCUACGGGAGGCAGCGGUGGGGAAUAUUGGACAAUGGGCGAAAGCCUGAUCCAGCCAUGCCGCGUGUGUGAAGAAGGCUUUCGGGUUGUAAAGCACUUUCAGCGAGGAAGAAAGCCUCUGGGCCAAUACCCCAGAGGAGGGACAUCACUCGCAGAAGAAGCACCGGCUAACUCCGUGCCAGCAGCCGCGGUAAUACGGAGGGUGCGAGCGUUAAUCGGAAUUACUGGGCGUAAAGCGCGCGUAGGUGGCUUGGCACGCCGGUUGUGAAAGCCCCGGGCUCAACCUGGGAACUGCAUCCGGAACGGCCAGGCUAGAGUGCAGGAGAGGAAGGUAGAAUUCCCGGUGUAGCGGUGAAAUGCGUAGAGAUCGGGAGGAAUACCAGUGGCGAGGGCGGCCUUCUGGCCUGACACUGACACUGACGUGCGAAAGCGUGGGUAGC
rnacentral:rRNA from 1 species